GUCCACGGCCACGCCACCAUGAACAAACCCCAUCCCGUCAGAUCUGGGAAGCUAAGCAGGGUCGGGCCUGGUGAGUGCUUGGAUGGGAGACCACCUAGGAAGACCAGGUGCUGUAGGCA
rnacentral:rRNA from 1 species